UACGGAUGAGGCAAGCGUUCUCCGGAAUUAUUGGGCGUAAAGCGUCCGUAGGUGGUUGACCAAGUCUGCUGUCAAAGGGUGGGGCUUAACCUCAUAAAGGCAGUGGAAACUGGUGAGCUAGAGUGCGGUAGGGGUAAGGGGAAGUCCCAGUGUAGCGGUGAAAUGCGUAGAGAUUGGGAAGAACAUCGGUGGCGAAAGCGCCGUGCUGGGCCUGCACUGACACUGAGGGACGAAAGCUAGGGGAGCGAAAGGG
rnacentral:rRNA from 1 species